GAUGAACGCUAGCUACAGGCUUAACACAUGCAAGUCGAGGGGGAAACGACUAUCGAAAGCUUGCUUUUGAUGGGCGUCGACCGGCGCACGGGUGAGUAACGCGUAUCCAACCUGCCCACCACUUGGGGAUAACCUUGCGAAAGUAAGACUAAUACCCAAUGAUAUCCCACGAAGGCAUCCGAAUGGGAUUUAAAGAUUUAUCGGUGAUGGAUGGGGAUGCGUCUGAUUAGCUUGUUGGCGGGGUAACGGCCCACCAAGGCUACGAUCAGUAGGGGUUCUGAGAGGAAGGUCCCCCACAUUGGAACUGAGACACGGUCCAAACUCCUACGGGAGGCAGCAGUGAGGAAUAUUGGUCAAUGGGCGAGAGCCUGAACCAGCCAAGUAGCGUGCAGGACGACGGCCCUAUGGGUUGUAAACUGCUUUUAUAAGGGAAUAAAGUGGGUCUCGUGAGACUUUUUGCAUGUACCUUAUGAAUAAGGACCGGCUAAUUCCGUG
rnacentral:rRNA from 1 species